ACGUGCCACCUGAGAAAGCUGCGUAGACUAGACGGCACCUCAUGCAUGGCAGGGAAGUCAACAGAGUUGGAGUGGGAGAAGCCCACAAGGCAGGGGCUUGUAGAUCCGAGAAAAGAUUGCAGAUUUUAUUCUUUAAGCAGUAAGAAGUCACUGGGGGGCGCUGAGAGAAAAUGAGCUAGCCCAGGGGCUGCCCCCUGAAUUCUGCCUGUUGUGUUGGCCGGGAUACCUGCCAGGCCUACGGAUGCGGGAGGUGCUGCUGUAUCUCUGCCCUCCCUGCACUGGGAGCAGGCGCUCCCUCUUUAGUUACAAUGACAAAUAACAGAUCCGGGCAUGUCCAGUGUCCCCUGGGGGCACGAUGCCUCCAGCUGAGGACCACUGCAGAAUGUCUUCUGUAAAGAGAGGAAAGUCAGAGAAAUGGCAGAGUGGAGGAGGGGACACCGGGCAGCCGGGCAGAGAAUGCGGGGAGAAAUGCAGAUGUUCAAGAGGCAUCUUGGAGAAAAUCCUGCGGAAUUGACUGGAGGAAGCCCAGCCGGCAGGACUCAGCUCCACGCCGGGGAUGGAGCCCAGGUCCUGGCAAACGUGGAGGAGCGUUGUCCCUGCGAGCGCCCAGCCUGAACAGAAGGGAACGAGGGGGGAGCAAGCCCGCGGUGCGUGAUGCUGGUCAUUUAUUUGCCGCAGCUGCCAGCACACGUCCGCUAACCUGACGAACACGGAUCCUGACCUCUAACUUCACACACGCACCCAGGCUGAAAUGGAAGCACCAGCCGGGGCAGGUGGAGGGGCUGGAGGAGAAUCCAGAGGUUCCUCGCAGGUGCGUGGUGGUGACCCACUCCUCGGGUUUUCACAGGGAGACGUCAGGUAGCGGCUGGGCCUGAGGCUCGGGGGCCGGGUCUGGGCUGCAGUGAGGCUCGGCCAUCUCCGGCUUUGCUGCGCCAACAAGAGCAUUGCCUGCUGCUAUCCCACGCGUCCUCAUCCCAAAUCCCAGAUGAGGGCGCUGUGGCCUUGGCCACCCCCAACACGGCGCCUGGGCUCGCAUCUGGGUGGUGGUUUUUCCUGCUGCACCACCAGGGUGCCUUGGCGCUGGGACUACAGGAUGCACAGAGGACCGCGCGUGGUGGAAGAGAAGCCAGCCUGGCCCGUUUGUGCGAGCGCGGCCCCUAAGCCCGCAGGCUGCCCUGCUGGGAGGGGAGAGUGGGAAGCGGCCUCCGGGUUGGUUCCCAGUGGUCCCAGCUGGGGGCAGAAAUUCCAUCUGUCUCACAACAGAUGAGUAUUCUCAAGUGUGGGAAAGCAACACAGACCAGAAACUUAUCAGGGGGAGGAAAACUCCCCCUGAUAAGAUGCAAAGGAGCCUAGAAAAAAAAAAUUGGCCCAAAGAGCAAGCACUGCUGGUUCAGGAUAAUUUCAGGAUAAACUGCCCCAGCUAUUGGCAGAUGUUAAGAAACACUUCCAAGAACUCGAGGGCAAGACACACCAGCCUCCUAACAGAAACAGCACCCCUACCCCACCACACGCUGGAAGGUUCCAGAAGACCUUGGCAGGACCAAAGACGUCAGUCAAGGUGAUGGAUAGCUCAGGUCGCCAAUAUUUCCCAUCAAAAGUAGCACUUAGUAAUAAUUCCACACUCAUGGGGAAUACUUUGGGCAAAACUGGAGAAAAGGCUUUUGAGUUUCCUAACACUCACUAUUGCUCACGAAAUAGACAUCACAUUAAAUGCAGUAAAAGAGCAAAAAAAAAAAAAAUGGCUGGGCGUGGUGGUUCAUGCCUGUAAUGCCAGCACUUUGGGAGGCCAAGGCAGGCAAAUCACGAGGUCAGGAGUUCGAGACCAGCCUGACCAGCAUGGUGAAACCCCGUCUCUACUAAAAAUACCAAAACAAACAAACAAACAAAAAUUAGCUGGGCGUGGUGGCAGGCACCUGUAGUCCCAGCUACUCAGGAGGCUGAGGCAGGAGAAUCACUUGAACCAAGGAGAUGGAGGUUGCAGUGAGCCAAGAUCACACCACUGCACUCCAGCCUAGGCGACAGAGCAAGACUCCGUCUCAAAAAAAAAAAAAAAAAAGCAAAAAAUUAAAAUGGUGGAGGGCAAAAUAAUUUAAAAAGUGAACAAACCUAAAUGACUAGUUAGUUAUUCUAACAGUAGGCAAACGUCAUACUGUUAUUACACCUUUCCUGUAAAGAAGCUAUGCUCCAUUGUGGUAAAAACAAAAAAAAUGUGCCUGUGGUUUAUAAACACAAUAAACCUUAAAAUGCAAA